rnacentral:rRNA from 1 species
CGUCUAUAUACGUAUAGCAUAUCAAUAAGCGGAGGAAAAGAAACUAACUAGGAUUCCCUCAGUAACGGCGAGUGAAGCGGGAAGAGCUCAAAUUUGAAAUCUUCAAGGUUCUACCUUGACGAAUUGUAGUUUAAAGAAGUGUUUUCUGUUGGAGUUUUGGUAAAAGUUCUUUGGAAUAGGACAUCAUAGAGGGUGAGAAUCCCGUAUUUGACCAUUAUUUCCAACUUUGUGAUACACUUUCAAAGAGUCGGAUUGUUUGGGAAUGCAGUCCAAAAUGGGUGGUAAAUUUCAUCUAAAGCUAAAUACUGGCGAGAGACCGAUAGCGAACAAGUACCGUGAGGGAAAGAUGAAAAGAACUUUGAAAAGAGAGUUAAACAGUACGUGAAAUUGUCAAAAGGGAAGCGUUUGACACCAGUGUUGUUUUCUCGAAAAUCAAUUAAAAAUGAGUGGGAUUUUGUGUUGUAUUGACUUUAUCAGCUUUCUGCACUCUUUUCUUAUCUUUCUUAAUGCACUUUUCGUUUAACAAGUCAACAUCAAUUUCUUUUGUUGUAAAAGGGUCAUUGGAAGGUGGCUUUCUUUUCGGAGAAAGUGUUUAUAGCCUUUGACUUCUGCAAUCGGAGAGAUUGAGGUCUGCAGCGUAGAUCCUUCGGGGUUAGAUAGCAUUUGUGCUAAGUUAUAGCCUUUCAUAGACAACUUGUUGACUAUGAUCAGUCAUGUAGCUUACUCGCUUAUGCUAUUUUACCUACGCUUAGGAUGUUGACGAUCAGCUGAGCGCG